AAAUUGAAGAGUUUGAUCAUGGCUCAGAUUGAACGCUGGCGGCAGGCCUAACACAUGCAAGUCGAACGGUAACAGGAAGCAGCUUGCUGCUUUGCUGACGAGUGGCGGACGGGUGAGUAAUGUCUGGGAAACUGCCUGAUGGAGGGGGAUAACUACUGGAAACGGUGGCUAAUACCGCAUAACGUCGCAAGACCAAAGAGGGGGACCUUCGGGCCUCUUGCCAUCAGAUGUGCCCAGAUGGGAUUAGCUUGUUGGUGAGGUAACGGCUCACCAAGGCGACGAUCCCUAGCUGGUCUGAGAGGAUGACCAGCCACACUGGAACUGAGACACGGUCCAGACUCCUACGGGAGGCAGCAGUGGGGAAUAUUGCACAAUGGGCGCAAGCCUGAUGCAGCCAUGCCGCGUGUAUGAAGAAGGCCUUAGGGUUGUAAAGUACUUUCAGCGGGGAGGAAGGUGUUGUGGUUAAUAACCGCAGCAAUUGACGUUACCCGCAGAAGAAGCACCGGCUAACUCCGUGCCAGCAGCCGCGGUAAUACGGAGGGUGCAAGCGUUAAUCGGAAUUACUGGGCGUAAAGCGCACGCAGGCGGUCUGUCAAGUCGGAUGUGAAAUCCCCGGGCUCAACCUGGGAACUGCAUUCGAAACUGGCAGGCUUGAGUCUUGUAGAGGGGGGUAGAAUUCCAGGUGUAGCGGUGAAAUGCGUAGAGAUCUGGAGGAAUACCGGUGGCGAAGGCGGCC
rnacentral:rRNA from 1 species